rnacentral:lncRNA from 1 species
CUGAAGUAAGUGGACGGUAGCUCGCUCGAGAUUAGCCGGAGAGUUUCCGUAUUUUAGUUUGAAGACUAGGUAAUGAGUCAAUGCUCUGGUCAUGUAACACUGGGUAGAUUAGUAGUAUUGAACUCAUAUCUGAUUUGGAUAAGUAUUAUGUUAUUACUUGUGAACAUGCUUAUUUGCAAUUGCUGUUUGAGAGGCCAUAAUGCCAAAUAUUCUGGUUAUGGU